rnacentral:rRNA from 1 species
CACGUAGGAGGCAAACGUUAUCCGGAUUUACUGGGCGUAAAGCGCGUGUAGGUGGUUCUGUAAGUAGGGCGUGAAAGCUCCCGGCUCAACUGGGAGAGGCCGUUUUAAACUGCAGAGCUAGAGGAUGGUAGAGGGAGGUGGAAUUCCAGGUGUAGCGGUGGAAUGCGCAGAUAUCUGGAGGAACACCAGUGGCGAAGGCGGCCUCCUGGACCAUUCCUGACACUCAGACGCGAAAGCUAGGGUAGCAAACAGGAUUAGAUACCCGCGUAGU